CCUACGGGGGGCUGCAGUGGGGAAUAUUGGACAAUGGGGGCAACCCUGAUCCAGCCAUGCCGCGUGUGUGAAGAAGGCCCUCGGGUUGUAAAGCACUUUCAGUGAGGAAGAACGCCUGGUGGUUAAUACCCAUCAGGAAAGACAUCACUCACAGAAGAAGCACCGGCUAACUCCGUGCCAGCAGCCGCGGUAAUACGGAGGGUGCGAGCGUUAAUCUGAAUUACUGGGCGUAAAGCGCGCGUAGGUGGCUUGAUAAGCCGGUUGUGAAAGCCCCGGGCUCAACCUGGGAACGGCAUCCGGAACUGUCAAGCUAGAGUGCAGGAGAGGAAGGUAGAAUUCCCGGUGUAGCGGUGAAAUGCGUAGAGAUCGGGAGGAAUACCAGUGGCGAAGGCGGCCUUCUGGACUGACACUGACACUGAGGUGCGAAAGCGUGGGUAGCAAACAGGAUUAGAUACCCUAGUAGUC
rnacentral:rRNA from 1 species